UCUACUCUUCCUGUCUUUCCUCCAUCGCCAACACAGACACUUCCUUUUUUAGGACACUAUGUGGGCUGUGUGCUUCUGUGCCCAGGCAAGGACAGCCUGCAGGGUCGCCAGGCCCACAGAGGGAUUCCGAGGACAUCUGCUGAUUCAGAGGACUGAAUGAGGGACUGGUGGACUUUGGAUACAGAGAAGAUGUCAAGAGAGAUCAAGAUUGGGCAGGUCUGUGUGAGGGUUCAUGGCUCUGAGCAGUCACUUACCAAUUGAGUGACCUUAGACUUUUUGACUUUUCUAAACCUCAAUUUCUUCAACUGUAAGAUGGGUCAGGAGAAGAAACAUAAUAGUAAGAUGGAGUAAAGGACAAAACACUGGUCCCUCACUGCUGCCCCUGAGGGAGAAAAGCAUCACAGGACUACAGCACUUCCAUCCCAUGCGUGGAAACCGAUACUCUUUCAAUACCUCUUGAACCCUGGGUCUCCCUUCUAGAGAAAAUGUCUGCUGCAAAGUUGGUUCUCUUCUCCUUCCCAGAUCUAACAAAGGGCCCAUAUGGACAGGAGUUUAUAAUGCUCCACAAAAUUUAGUAUUUCAGCAAUAGGAAAAUAGUUGGUUAAAAUCAGUGUACACAGCACCUGAACUUGUUUGUUUAUUUGUUCAAAACAUGUACAGAGGACAUCAUUGUGCCAGAUCCUGUGACAGUGGAGUGGGGACAGAAGUGAAUAAACAGAGCCUCGAUCCCUUUGCAGUAAAAAUGAGAUAGA